rnacentral:rRNA from 1 species
UACGAAGGGGGCUAGCGUUGCUCGGAAUCACUGGGCGUAAAGCGCACGUAGGCGGAUCUUUAAGUCAGGGGUGAAAUCCUGGAGCUCAACUCCAGAACUGCCUUUGAUACUGAGGAUCUUGAGUUCGGGAGAGGUGAGUGGAACUGCGAGUGUAGAGGUGAAAUUCGUAGAUAUUCGCAAGAACACCAGUGGCGAAGGCGGCUCACUGGCCCGAUACUGACGCUGAGGUGCGAAAGCGUGGGGAGCAAACAGG